AUGCGCGCUCUGCAGGAGCUCAAGCGUAAAGCCCGCAACCGCCGCAACUGUCCAUCCAGGCGUCUGAGGGGCACAAAGUUGGAGCUGCUGCGCACCAAAGACGCUCUGUACCGGCUGCAGCUGCUCAGCGAGGACUGCAGCCUGGAAGAGAGGAAAGAGCUGAGCCACAGGCUGGCCCUGAUCACUGUGGACCUACACAGGAAGAACAAGAGGAUACAGGACUUAGAAAGGAAUCUUGAGCUGAGCCAGAUAUCCUUCAAUCACCCUCUUGCCACAGAAACAAGACUUGCCACAGAAACAAGACAGAAAAAGACCAAUGAAGCCAGAGAGCUGUCUGAUUACCUCCAGGCACAGAUCAAUCUGUUGACCAAAAAAAUCUAAGAAAGAGAGAGAGAAUUGGAGAUCCACAAAAUCUACUCACAUAGAUUUCCAAAAGGCUGGAACAGAAAAG
rnacentral:lncRNA from 13 species